UGUCAGCUAGCUCAGUCGGUAGAGCUUGAGACUCUUAAUCUCUUAAUAGGACUGUUGUGGUUUAAUCCCAGCCGGCAA
rnacentral:tRNA from 1 species